GGGUUGUGAGGUUAAGCGACUAAGCGUACACGGUGGAUGCCCUGGCAGUCAGAGGCGAUGAAGGGCGUGCUAAUCUGCGAUAAGCGCCGGUAAGGUGAUAUGAACCGUUAUAACCGGCGAUACCCGAAUGGGGAAACCCAGUGUGACUCGUCACACUAUCAUUAACUGAAUCCAUAGGUUAAUGAGGCGAACCGGGGGAACUGAAACAUCUAAGUACCCCGAGGAAAAGAAAUCAACCGAGAUUCCCCCAGUAGCGGCGAGCGAACGGGGAGGAGCCCAGAGCCUGAAUCAGCAUGUGUGUUAGUGGAAGCGUCUGGAAAGGCGCGCGAUACAGGGUGACAGCCCCGUACACAAAAGCGCAUGUGCUGUGAGCUCGAUGAGUAGGGCGGGACACGUGGUAUCCUGUCUGAAUAUGGGGGGACCAUCCUCCAAGGCUAAAUACUCCUGACUGACCGAUAGUGAACCAGUACCGUGAGGGAAAGGCGAAAAGAACCCCGGCGAGGGGAGUGAAAAAGAACCUGAAACCGUGUACGUACAAGCAGUGGGAGCACCCUUCGGGGUGUGACUGCGUACCUUUUGUAUAAUGGGUCAGCGACUUAUAUUCUGUAGCAAGGUUAACCGUAUAGGGGAGCCGGAGGGAAACCGAGUCUUAAUUGGGCGUUAAGUUGCAGGGUAUAGACCCGAAACCCGGUGAUCUAGCCAUGGGCAGGUUGAAGGUUGGGUAACACUAACUGGAGGACCGAACCGACUAAUGUUGAAAAAUUAGCGGAUGACCUGUGGCUGGGGGUGAAAGGCCAAUCAAACCGGGAGAUAGCUGGUUCUCCCCGAAAGCUAUUUAGGUAGCGCCUCGUGAAUUCAUCUCCGGGGGUAGAGCACUGUUUCGGCUAGGGGGCCAUCCCGGCUUACCAACCCGAUGCAAACUGCGAAUACCGGAGAAUGUUAUCACGGGAGACACACGGCGGGUGCUAACGUCCGUCGUGAAGAGGGAAACAACCCAGACCGCCAGCUAAGGUCCCAAAGUCAUGGUUAAGUGGGAAACGAUGUGGGAAGGCCCAGACAGCCAGGAUGUUGGCUUAGAAGCAGCCAUCAUUUAAAGAAAGCGUAAUAGCUCACUGGUCGAGUCGGCCUGCGCGGAAGAUGUAACGGGGCUAAACCAUGCACCGAAGCUGCGGCAGCGACGCUGAUGCGUUGUUGGGUAGGGGAGCGUUCUGUAA
rnacentral:rRNA from 1 species